CCCAGACAGCCAGGAUGUUGGCUUAGAAGCAGCCAUCAUUUAAAGAAAGCGUAAUAGCUCACUGGUCGAGUCGGCCUGCGCGGAAGAUGUAACGGGGCUAAACCAUGCACCGAAGCUGCGGCAGCGACACUGUGUGUUGUUGGGUAGGGGAGCGUUCUGUAAGCCUGUGAAGGUGUCCCGUGAGGGAUGCUGGAGGUAUCAGAAGUGCGAAUGCUGACAUAAGUAACGAUAAAGCGGGUGAAAAGCCCGCUCGCCGGAAGACCAAGGGUUCCUGUCCAACGUUAAUCGGGGCAGGGUGAGUCGACCCCUAAGGCGAGGCCGAAAGGCGUAGUCGAUGGGAAACGGGUUAAUAUUCCCGUACUUGGUGUUACUGCGAAGGGGGGACGGAGAAGGCUAUGUUGGCCGGGCGACGGUUGUCCCGGUUUAAGCGUGUAGGCUGGUUUUCCAGGCAAAUCCGGAAAAUCAAGGCUGAGGCGUGACGACGAGGCACUACGGUGCUGAAGCAACAAAUGCCCUGCUUCCAGGAAAAGCCUCUAAGCAUCAGGUAACAUCAAAUCGUACCCCAAACCGACACAGGUGGUCAGGUAGAGAAUACCAAGGCGCUUGA
rnacentral:rRNA from 1 species